CCUUUAACUGACGCUAAAGCUCGAAGGUGCGGGUAUCGAACAGGAUUAGAUACCCUGGUAGUCCGCACGGUAAACGAUGGAUGCCCGCUGUAUGCGAUAUACUGUAUGCGGCCAAGCGAAAGCGUUAAGCAUCCCACCUGGGGAGUACGCCGGCAACGGUGAAACUCAAAGGAAUUGACGGGGGCCCGCACAAGCGGAGGAACAUGUGGUUUAAUUCGAUGAUACGCGAGGAACCCUACCCGGGCUUGAACUGCAGGAGAACGAUACAGAGAUGUUGAGGUCCUUCGGGACUCCUGUGGAGGUGCUGCAUGGUUGUCGUCAGCUCGUGCCGUGAGGUGUCGGCUUAAGUGCCAUAACGAGCGCAACCCUUUUCGUCAGUUGCCAUCAGGUGAUGCUGGGCACUCUGGCGAUACUGCCACCGUAAGGUGUGAGGAAGGUGGGGAUGACGUCAAAUCAGCACGGCCCUUACGUCCGGGGCUACACACGUGUUACAAUGGGGAGUACAGAGAGUCAACCGCCGGCAACGUCGGUUUAAUCAAGAAAGCUCUCCUCAGUUCGGAUUGGGGUCUGCAACCCGACCCCAUGAAGCUGGAUUCGCUAG
rnacentral:rRNA from 1 species